rnacentral:misc_RNA from 1 species
UCCGGUUUGUCACCGGCAGUCUCCCUAGAGUGCCCUUGCGUAGCAACUAGGGACAAGGGUUGCGCUCGUUGCGGGACUUAACCCAACAUCUCACGACACGAGCUGACGACGGCCAUGCAGCACCUGUGUCCUAGUUCUCUUUCGAGCACCCCCAUAUCUCUACGGGAUUCUAGGCAUGUCAAGGGUAGGUAAGGUUUUUCGCGUUGCAUCGAAUUAAUCCACAUAAUCCACCGCUUGUGCGGGUCCCCGUCAAUUCCUUUGAGUUUUAAUCUUGCGACCGUACUCCCCAGGCGGGGUGCUUAAAGCGUUAGCUGCGCCACCGAUGAGCAAGCUCACCGACGGCUAGCACCCAUAGUUUACGGCGUGGACUAC